rnacentral:rRNA from 1 species
UUGGAGGGCAAGUCUGGUGCCAGCAGCCGCGGUAAUUCCAGCUCCAAUAGCGUAUAUUAAAGUUGUUGCAGUUAAAAAGCUCGUAGUUGAAUUUUAGACUUGAUCUCAUGUUCCAUCCAAUGGAUGAGUACUGUUUUGAUUGGGACUUUAUUUCUGAUAAACUUUUAUUCCCUUUAUUGGGUGUAAUAGGGAAGCAGGACCAUUACCUUGAAAAAAUUAGAGUGUUCAAAGCAGGCAAAAUUGCUCGAAUACAUUAGCAUGGAAUAAUAAAAUAGGACGGAUGAAUCUAUUUUGUUGGUUUCUAGGACCACCGUAAUGAUUAAUAGGGAUAGUUGGGGGCAUUAGUAUUCAAUUGUCAGAGGUGAAAUUCUUGGAUUUAUUGAAGACUAACUACUGCGAAAGCAUUUGCCAAGGAUGUUUUCAUUGAUCAAGAACGAAAGUUAGGGGAUCGAAGACGAUCAGAUACCGUCGUAGUCUUAACCAUAAACUAUGCCGACUAGGAAUCGGAAUUUGUUAUUAUAAUGACAAGUUCGGCGCCUUACGGGAAAC